rnacentral:rRNA from 1 species
AUUAGGUAGUUGGUGGGAUAAAAGCUUACCAAGCCAACGAUCUGUAGCUGGUCUGAGAGGAUGAUCAGCCACACUGGGACUGAGACACGGCCCAGACUCCUACGGGAGGCAGCAGUGGGGAAUUUUGGACAAUGGGGGCAACCCUGAUCCAGCCAUGCCGCGUGCAGGACGAAGGCCUUCGGGUUGUAAACUGCUUUUGUACGGAACGAAAGGGACUGCUUUAAUAGGGUAGUUUUAUGACGGUACCGUAAGAAUAAGCACCGGCUAACUACGUGCCAGCAGCCGCGGUAAUACGUAGGGUGCGAGCGUUAAUCGGAAUUACUGGGCGUAAAGCGUGCGCAGGCGGUAUUGUAAGACAGAGGUGAAAUCCCUGGGCUCAACCUGGGAACUGCCUUUGUGACUGCAAUGCUGGAGUGCGGCAGAGGGGGAUGGAAUUCCGCGUGUAGCAGUGAAAUGCGUAGAUAUGCGGAGGAACACCGAUGGCGAAGGCAAUCCUCUGGGCCUGCACUGACGCUCAUGCACGAAAGCGUGGGGAGCAAACAGGAUUAG